CUGUGUGUUUUAAAGUGAAACAUUAAUAGCUGGAGAUUGAUCAGAUCCCCGAGGCUCAUGGGAAAAACAUUGUUUUGGAGGGUCAUCAUGAGGUGAUUUACCAGAACUAGUCACACGUAUUGACACAGAGGUUAAUGGCCAAAACAGAUUAAUUAUUGUAUCUAACUUUCAUUUGUGCACUCUUCAAAGGUUUUAUCUUCUGUUCUCAAUUUGCAGAGCUGUAGCCUGUAGUAAAGUCAGAUGUAUUACUAUCUGAUAUAUUUAUAUUUACCAUAAUCUUUUUUACAGUUUUAUGCAAGUCCUCAGCCAUAUCAGCAUCAAAUUGGAAACUUGUUAACUUAUCCCAUAUCUAUGGAACUCACUCACUCACUCAUCCUCUCAAUGGAUGUAACUCACUCACUCACCCUGUAUCUAUGGGGCAAACUCACUCACUCAUCCUGUAUCUAUGGAGAAAACUCACUCACUCACCCUGUAUCUAUGGGGCAAACUCACUCACUCAUCCUGUAUCUAUGGAGCAAACUCACUCACUCACCCUGUAUCUAUGGAGCAAACUCACUCACUCACCCUGUAUCUAUGGGGCAAACUCACUCACUCACCCUGUAUCUAUGGAGCAAACUCACUCACUCACCCUGUAUCUAUGGAGCAAACUCACUCACCCUGUAUCCAUGGAUUAAACUCACUCACUCACCCUGUAUCUAUGGGGCAAACUCACUCACUCAUCCUGUAUCGAUGGAUUAAACUCACUCACUCACCCUGUAUCUAUGGGGCAAACUCACUCACUCACAUGGUAUAUAUGGAUGAUUAACAACCUCUGUUAAGUAAGCAGCUGGGCUGAUUAGCUAACGCAACCCAGGUGCGUGUGCUUUCUCCACCGGUAGGCACGACUCAGAUGAAUUGGGUUCUCCACUGGGCCAAAUACUACAGAUAGCUUCUAAGAAAUCACGGACAGCACAUUGGAAGCCAAGUAAACAUUUGCUCCUUUUUGCAUUCGAAACAGUCAAGGUCAACAGUUUAAAGAUCUACUCUGAAAUGAAAAAUGUAAUUGGACCACGAUGCGGGCAGAGUAGGAGGAGUUUUAUUUAAAACUGGAUAUGGUCUGAGAGUCUGAGAGAGGGAGCACCAUAACUGAGAAGAACUCUGGGACACCAGCUCAACAAAAGCAGGGAGUUCCAUAUCGAAGUGCUAUGGCAACAGGAGGUUUUCUGGUUUAUAUAGUGCUCUUCUUGGGUUCAGUCCAUGGACAACCAGAAUCCUGGACACCUGACACAAACAGAAUGUGGAUACAUGCAGAUAGAUCCCGCAUUGAUUCAAAAGCAGAAAAACGUGGUGUUCACCUAGUGUUCAUAGAGAAAGACGAUCCAAUUCUGAAUGAUUAUAAUGAUUAUUUC